rnacentral:tRNA from 1 species
CGAAGAUUGAAGAUUAAAAUUCUUCCUAGCGGU